UACGUAGGGGGCAAGCGUUAUCCGGAUUUACUGGGUGUAAAGGGAGCGUAGACGGCGCGGCAAGUCUGAAGUGAAAGGCAGGGGCUUAACCCCUGAACUGCUUUGGAAACUGCCAUGCUAGAGUGCUGGAGAGGUAAGUGGAAUUCCUAGUGUAGCGGUGAAAUGCAUAGAUAUCACGCAGAACCCCGAUUGCGAAGGCAGCAUACCGGCGCCCUACUGACGCUGAGGCACGAAAGUGCGGGUAUCGAACAGG
rnacentral:rRNA from 1 species